rnacentral:tRNA from 1 species
GGUGGCUUAGUGGUAGAGUGCUUGCCUUGCAUGUAAGAGGUCCUGGGUUUGAUUCCUCAGCACCA